ACUUAAAUAAAUAGUAAGAGUGUGAGAAAAUAAACAAUUUAAUCAGUUCACAGAAUUUAUUUUAUUAAGUGCUCCGUUAUUCACAAGACAAUAAUAAAGUCGGUUUUAAAAUGACUCAUUGAACCAUUGGCAAGUACUUGUCCGCUAAUAUCUCUACAUUCGCGAGUAAUUCGAUCCUUUAAAUAAGAAAAUUUUCAGGUUGAUUUGAAAACUAUUUGGCAUCAAAACUUUAAACAAAUCAGACUAUAUUUUCUGCCAUUUUAUAAAAGUGACAUUGUGCCUAUUCAUAAAAUAUUGAUAAUAACUAUUGAGAAAUUAUUACACAAUAUUUUGAUACACAAUAUUAUUGUCGCAUCAUUGUUUCAAUACUAAGACCUUGAGAAUUCGUGCAACAUGCAUUGGUGAAAUAUAAAUUCAAAAACCAAGGGACCAAGGCUAACCACUGAUGUAGCACCUUCUCUUAGUCUGCCAAAAUCAAAAGGUUUAUAGGUAAGCCACGUGAAAAAGCAGGAAAGGAUUAAAGAGAGAACCGAAGAAGUCUUUAAAGGAAUUGAUCGCUCAGUCUAGUGAGCUCACAAUAUGGCCAUAAAGCAAAGAGUGCUUUUGGACUAGAAGACAUCGACAACAUAUCUGAAAUUAACAAUAGUACUUUUUUGGGGAAUUAUAACAACUUGUUUAACGCUUCAAGUAUAAAUUUACUGGUUCCUAAAACAAAAGAUGCAGCUAACAAUUUCAGAAAAAGUAAAAUCCAUAAUGAAAAUUUGCCUGAAAUCGCAAACCUCGCCCAAUACAGGUUGGUUACAGAAUAUCCUUGAAACCUUUUGAAAGUACCCUAGUAAUACUUUAUGUACAUACAUAUUCGGGUAUUUAUCAGGACGAAAUAACGUUCACUGCAAGAACUGGGACGUUACGCAUUCAGAAAAGAGUUCUUAUAGAUGUUAGAA
rnacentral:misc_RNA from 1 species